rnacentral:tRNA from 1 species
GCCCGGGUGGCGGAAUUGGUAGACGCGCUGGAUUCAAAAUCCAGUGGUAGCAAUACCGUGCGGGUUCGAUUCCCGCCCUGGGUA